GAGGUAAGGGUGGAAAAGAGGGUCAGCAGUCUAUGGUAAGAUGAAAGAAAAGCUAGGUGGAAACCAAGACCCAGCAUGACAUCUUGACUGCACUAGUUCUCAGAAAAGCAGUUUUAAAUGCAUACUUGCAGAAGUUGAGGAUCUGGAAAUUAGUUCCCAUAAAACUCUGCAUGCUUUGGGACCCUCUGGAAAGUUUUUGCCUGAAGCCAGAGCUCUACAGGACAGAAAACUGAGCAAAGUCUUCCAGGUUUGGUUGAUGACAAGCUAAGAGCAGAGCUAAAGGAAUUUAGAGACUGGCUUUCAAAACAAUAGCCUGGAUUUCAAGCUGAUUGUCUUGUUCCUAUUUUGAAUUUCAGAGGCCAAAUACUAAUUUCUUUUUUUCCAUUCCUUUUGUAACAUCUAAACAGUGCCAAAACCCUAUCUCCAGGGCAAAUGGACUUCCCAGGCAGAUGAGAAAAAGAUCACAUUACUCAUGUUCAACAUAUUACCUCAGUUACACAAGCAUCGUGGAAUUUUGUGCAUUUGGAUGGAAGACAACUGUUUCUUUAUCUUCUUCCAAUGUCAGGAGAAGCAGGCUGUGAGCCAAGGGGAAGGCAGAGGACAGAAAUGAAUGUGUUUCCAGGCUUUCCUGGUGGUUUAUGGCAUUCUCCAAACUCCUAUGCAAGGGCUAUUCCUGACCAAGAAGAUCUAAGGAGAACGUCUCUGAAAUCAAGUCCGGAUGAAGAA
rnacentral:lncRNA from 1 species